AUCUAGCAGACGAGUCCUAAAUAGGACCAAAUGCGCGUCUUAGAU
rnacentral:hammerhead_ribozyme from 1 species